AUACUUUACUUUCACAUGAGAUACCGGUGAUCACGAGGCGGGUCUCCCAGGACGAGGCUCCCAUUGCCGUCCGGGUGGCGCUGACCCCUGGAUUCACCGAAUGUGGUUUAACUCGAGUGUGCAAUUUUUGUUAGCGGGGGACUGCGUCGCGCUUCCCCUU